rnacentral:lncRNA from 1 species
UUACCUAGAAUUUUAGGUUUUGCAGACCUUAAAAUGAAGUCAUUAUUUAUUUUAAUCACGUAGUUUGUAAUAGGUGUCCUAAUUCACCGUAGAACUAAUUAGGUGGCGACUUCCUUAAAUUUAACUCCGAAGUUUUCCAAUAUGUUGUACACUAUUUUGACCCAUGUUAAAAUGGGUAUAACAAUUAUUUUUCCAUUCCCCUUUAAGAACAUACAGUCCACCCUCUUGUCUACCAAUCCCCUUCACCUUGCCAUUGAAGAGGUCCUGAAAUACACAGAAAUCAGGAUAAAAGGACACAAAGCAUGACAGUUCCUUGGUUAUCUUAGCAACAAACAACAAAUUUAGUCUAAAAUCUGGAACAAAGAGGACAUCUUUGAUCACAUCAUCUGUAAACAUAUAGGCUUCUCUAGUGU